GUUUAUUGAAGUAACAUGUGAAUGAUAUGAGGGGUGUGAAGGGAUGAUCUGGGAGGACGAGCUAUGGUCCGUGCAGUGGGAGACUCAGAGUGGGGGUUCCGUCUCCGGCAUGAUCUGCGUGGGCUGAUUACGGGCCCCCAGACGAUACCUGGAAUUGAAUGGCCCCAAUGGAGAUGAGGCAGCACCACGACCUGAAGCGGUGGAAAUGUUUUGGAACUUUGUUGGCUCCUCGCUGUCCUUCUUCAGCAGAACCGGACAGCACCAGAGGGAAGAAAUAAUAACAAUAAAGGCGAUUCCCAGCAACUGGGACCUGCUGGCACCCUUCGUUCAAGUAGGAAAGAAAAACGCCCAAAAUAUCCAACAGAACCCAUGGCAAUGCACAUGUGGGAAGGCUUACAACUAUUACAAUAAUCAAUUCCGUCAUGGAAACCGCAACUACAGCCCUCAUCAAGAUAAGUGUUCCUGUGGAGCAGUUAUUGGGGGCAUUUGCAUCACAGAGGUGGUUUGUGAGUUUCUGUAAUGGGUGGGAAAACACUGAUCAUUGAACAAAGCUCAGAAGUGCAAAUAUCUGCUUUUAUUGGAUUCAUAUAAAUGUAAUUGAUUAUGUGUUGACUUGCUGUCAAAUGUAAAUAUAGUGCCUUUAGUGCAAACAAUAUGUUGUGAUUCUUUAUAGUGAACAACUUACACAUGGUAGGCAACCUACAUGGCAGUGUGUUUUGGGAGUUGGUUAUGUUUCUGUUUCUGCCUGACAGUUUAAGGUGUUUGUCUCCCUCUAAUGGUGUUGAAUGUGUCAUUGCUUUCACAUUUUACAGUUAUCUUACACUGCAUGUAAGUCAUUUAUGUAUUUUGUAUUCUUCUUACUUUGUGAUUUGUGGAUGAACUGAUCAACAAUAAAGCCAUAAAAAAAGA